GAGGCUAUACUUUCUGGGAUCAUUUCUACAGUUGGUUACUAGACAAGUUUCUCUGAUCAUGUAGAGUACUGCCAACUGUGGAUUGAAACCUCUAUAAACUGU
rnacentral:snoRNA from 1 species